AGCUCCAGCUAGAAGACCAAUGUGAGUUGGGUGUGAAUCCUAACCACCCCUUAGUAGCCGUGUAAAUUUGGUCAAGGUUUUUUUUUUUUUUACAUCUUUCUUAGCUUCAGUGUCCACAUUCGGAAAAGUCAAGUUAGUACCCCAUUUGUUGUGACAAAGUUUAAAUGGAAUCAUUCAUUAGAUAGAUGAAGAAAGAAGGUGCCUAUGGGGUGCCAGGCACUUUUCUAGGCGCUGGGAAUAGAGGGGUUAAUGAGCCAACAAAUUCUGCCUUUGGUUACCGUGGUUACCAACUGGAGGGUAGCCGCAUAUGAUACAUAAAGGAGUCAGGACACGAGGUCAUUACAGAGUGAGCAGUAGUAUGAAGAAAAUAAAACUCAUAGAUGCGUGAAGAGUAAGUUGGGAGAGGUGGGGUAAUUCUACACUGGAUGGUCCUGAAGGUUUCUCCAAGGAGGAAGUGAAUGUAAACCCAUGUAGCCCAGCGCCUGGCAGGAGUUAAGAGCACCACAAAUGCUGUUCCAUUAAAAUAUGUAUAUAUACAAUUAUUUAUGUCUGGGACAGCCAGUGGAGUUUGCAAGCUGAUAUUCUGGCGUUAUGAUCAUCUCCCCGGCCCUCUUUUCUUCAGCCUCCAAGCAACGGAGCAAACAGUAAAGCAAAGUACUUGGAGAGAAGGCUUUGUCAUUCUUCAGGAGGCUUCACAGGAAGAGGUUUCCUUCCCGGAUUCUGUGAUAUGCUGUGAUUCCCUAUGCUGUGAUUCCCUGGGUGUAAACAGAAGGGAGUUGAAAUGGACUCAUUCGGUGAUCGUGAAGUGGGUCUUCCACUGUGGCUGCAAGAGCGUUCAGGAUAUUGUCUCAUUUGUGAGGAGGGAGAGCCGAGAGGCAGAGAUGCCCAGGGAGACAUUGAGACCCACUCCUCCAGCCCUGUUUUGGUGAACGGCUCCAUUAUUUAGCCCAUAGAGGAGCCAGGAACCAUUGUGUCUGUGUGAGACUCUCUCUCUUGCAUUCAGUAGUGAUUCCUAAGUUAUGGACUGAGAACUCCUCGGAGCAAUAGCUAAGGAAAUAUUGCAAGAGAUCCUUGGAUCUGUUGUCUGCGGAGUAGAUAAGGGCCCACAACAGCGUUUUCAUCUAUAAGUGGGUCUUCGGCCUUGAGAAGGAAUCUUGGCCAUCACUGAGGUGAAGUACAGUGACGGAUGUGUUGGGGCACCUGGGUGGCUCAGUCCGUUCAGCGUUCCGACCCUUGAUAGUGGCUCAGAUCAUGAUCUCACGGUUUGGGAGUUGGAACCCAGCAUCUGGCUCUGUGCCGACAGGGUGGA